rnacentral:lncRNA from 1 species
CAAAAAUAGUCCACAAGCUAGCCAAACCUGAGAGCAUAAUGACAAUAAGUCUCGGAUCCAACAUCUUCAUUUUAACCCUCGGCUUCCUCUCCCUCUUAAGAUUGGCCUUCAAUCUCAUCCGACUCAAGUCUCCUUCUAUCAUAUAAGCAUCGUCGUAGACUCCAUAUCCUUCAUGUCUCUCUCUACCAUGUUCCUCUUCUUGGAUAUGUCAGUUUUUGGAAAGGGAAGUUU